UUUCAUCAGGGGACUCACAAUUUCUAGAUACACCCUUGACUAUUAAUUAAUCGUAAUCCAUUUGAUUUCUGUAAAUGACUAAUAUUUUACAUAUUGCUGCUUGCAUCAUUGAAUGGAAUGUAUCUAAUAGUGCACAACGUACCAAAAUGCCACAGGUCAGACCAGGCCUACAAGUGGGUAUAGUGUGAGGAUUCCUCCCACCCCUCCCUCCACACACAUGUACACAGCAACGCAACACCCCACAAAUUCAUAAUUCUGAAAUGUACUUGUUGGUGCUCAGGGUGAGUGAGCUGGGGGAUGGGGGAGGUCUGUCUGAUUGGCCGAUAUGAAAUCACCUUUUUUUCUUUCAUAUUCGCCAUCGCCCCACAAAAAACUAGCUUGUGAAAUUUCUGUCGCAAAACAUAUGCAUCCUUGAUAUCUUGCAGAUCUCGAAGUGAUACAGAAAUCCUGAACUGCCUUAGUGGGCAAACGGCAUAUCAUGGCACAUUUUAAGAGGACAUGCAAAUCAUGGACUAUUUUUAGUGGGUACGGUGUAGUCCUGUGUAUCACAUAGACUACAGCACAGGGUCAGAAAGUCAAACACAGGACACGAGGGAGGGUGUGGAAGGAAAAUGGAAAGAUAUAAUAUGAGGGGAACGUAACCAAGCUUUGAAAAUGAUUUAAAAGUAAUUACAUAGACUGCAAUGACAUUUCAUUAUUGUCUUUUUGGGUCACACAGUACCUGAUAUUGUUUUCAUUUUGGCCGCCUAGACGCCUCACUGGUGAGGUGUUCCGGGCAUGUCCCACUGGGAGGAGACCCUGGGGAAGACCCAGGACACGCUGCAGAGACUAUGUCUCUCGGAUGGCCUGGGAACGGCUCGGGAUUCCCCCAGAGGAGCUGGACGAAGUGGCCGGGGAGAGGGAAGUCUGGGCCUCCCUGCUGAGACUGCUGCCCCCACGACCCGACCCAGAAAAGAGCAAUCUCCAGUCCAGUCAGUCUGAGUAUAUCUGCUCAUAUGAGAGUCAGUCAGUGAUACCUGAGACAUGUCUGAAGAGUUCUGCUAUUCCGUUGUGGUCUAUGAUUCUUCGACUGCCGAAUGAAGAAACCGUAUACACAGACGUGAAGAAAGCAGAACUAGCUCGAGAGAAGCUCCAUCCAGCGCUGCAUACAUGUGUAGCUCCGUUUGCCUGUAAUGACUGACACCCUGCUGCCCCUGGGAGAAAAGCCUAGAGCCGCCUAUGUGUACGAUGCAUCAAAAGAUAUUUUAUGUCUAUUUUCAGUACAAACGCUUUACAGUAUUUCAUUGUCCUGCUUUA